rnacentral:rRNA from 1 species
ACGUAGGGGGCGAGCGUUGUCCGGAAUUACUGGGCGUAAGGGGGCGGAGGGGGCCUUUUAAGUUUGGUGUGAAAAACCCGGGCUUAACCUGGGGGGGCGUCUAAUACUGGAGGGCUAGAGUGCAGGAGAGGAAAGCGGAAUUCCUAGUGUAGCGGUGAAAUGCGUAGAUAUUAGGAGGAACACCAGUGGCGAAGGCGGCUUUCUGGACUGUAACUGACACUGAGGCACGAAAGCGUGGGGAGCAAACAG